rnacentral:rRNA from 1 species
GGGUAAGAGUGAUUCUAGGGCUUCGGCUCGACUCUCCACCCUUUGUUAACGUACCUCUGUUGCUUUGGUGGCUCCUGCCGCCUUAGCGACCUACCAACUCCAGUCACCAAAGGCAUACGUCUGAUAAACAUGUUUAUAAACUAAAACUUUCUACAACGGAUCUCUAUGGUUUUGGACUUUAUGAAAAAGAUCUCAAGGCUCU